UACGGGGGGAGCAAGCGUUUGUUCGGAUUUACUGGGCGUAAAGGGCGCGUAGGCGGUCGUGACAAGUCACUUGUGAAAUCUCCGGGCUUAACUCGGAACGGUCAAGUGAUACUGUCGGACUAGAGUACAGAAGGGGCAACUGGAAUUCUCGGUGUAGCGGUGAAAUGCGUAGAUAUCGAGAGGAACACCUGCGGCGAAGGCGGGUUGCUGGGCUGAUACUGACGCUGAAUCACGAAAGCUAGGGGAGCAAACGGG
rnacentral:rRNA from 1 species